rnacentral:lncRNA from 1 species
GUGGGUAGUAGAUACCCCUAAUUCUACUGUCGGACACUUGUCCAUUUUUUCCGCUCAAGUGGGCAUCUUUGUACCCCUAAUUCUACUUCGGACACUUGUCCAUUUUUACCUCUCGUCUCACUCUUUUUCUUUCUUUAUCGAGGUUCCGGGCACUUGCCCCUUUUUAUUUCCUCGCAUAUUUUUGCAUAACCCAUGCCUCUUCUGCAUUGAAUCUUUUUAGAGAGAGAGAAUAACAAUAUUCGGGACAGUGAGUGAAAAUAUUUUUAGCAAUUGUAAUGAUUGAUGAUGGAUGCUGUGGUAGAUGUGUGCAAGUGAAUAUCUUAAUUUAACCACAUGAAAAGCUCCUAAGGGUCUACAUAGCUCGAUCAAACUCAAUGUGAAUAUAGUAAAAGAUGUUAUAGCAAGUAUGGCUGUGGUAGGUAGUUUUGUAUGCUAGGAACUCAUCAUGUGAUUUGUAAGUUUUCAAAAUAAAUCUCCAGAACUUAGUGUAGUAGGAACAAGAUAAACAGUAGCUCAACUUUAUAUCAUGCCUUUCUCUUACCU